AUUGAACGCUGGCGGCAGGCCUGACACAUGCAAGUCGAGCGGAGCGGCGGACGGGUGAGUAAUGCCUAGGAAUCUUCCUGGUAGUGGGGGAUAACGUCCGGCAACGGGCGCUAAUACCGCAUACUAUCAGAUGAGCCUAGGUCGGAUUAGCUAGUUGGUGGGGUAAAGGCCUACCAAGGCGACGAUCCGUAACCGGUUUGAGAGGAUGAUCAGUCACACGGGAACGGAGACACGGUCCAGACUCCGACGAGAGGCAGCAGUGGGGAAGAUUGGACAAUGGGAGAAAGCCUGAUCCAGCCAUGCCGCGUGGGUGAAGAAGGUCGUCGGGUUGUAAAGCACUAUAAGUUGGGAGGCGUUACCAGCAGAAUAAGCACCGGCUAACUUCGUGCCAGCAGCCGCGGUAAUAC
rnacentral:rRNA from 1 species